GGAUGAGUGGACGUCUGGUCUGUGGCGGUAGAGGAUGAUGAGUGGACGUCUCGUCUGUGGCGGUAGAGGAUGAUGAGUGGACGUCUGGUCUGUGGCGGUAGAGGAUGAUGAGUGGACGUCUGGUCUGUGGCGGUUUGGCAGCACUGGGGUUUGGCUCUGAAGCUGGAAACACACCUGCUCUCCGUCAGAAGAAAUGGUUUGAUCUGCUUCAUAAAGUUUGUGCUGAAAAAAAUGUAUAAUAGAAGAUGAUUAAAGACAUUUACCAUCACCUAAAGCUCUUUAUUUGUACAGAGUGAGAAAUGUCCAAUGCAGGUCCACGGCCAGUUGAAACUUCUUUGUGGAUUCCACCCUCCUAAAGUGUUCAUUUCAGACUUUCAGUUUACAAAGUCAGGGUUUGGUGGAUCCUUCAGCAACAAUUCAGCAGCCAAACCUAAUGCUGGUAGUCAAAGUCCAUCUCCUUCAGCCACUGAUUCAUCUGCAUCCAGUCCUGCUGUUUCUUCCAGUUCUGCUCCUUUAACCAUUUCUUCCUGGUGUUUUGAGUCACUCAGAGACUUGAUAUUAUUUUACAGUUUAUAAAUAUUGUUUGCUAAUAUUAUAUAGUUGUUAUGAUUCUACUUUUAUUAAUUAUUUUUAUCUAUUGUUUAUUAUUAGGUUGUUUUUUUUUUUAAACCCACUUUGGAACUUUUUAAUCAUAAAUGUUUAUAUUUAUUGUUAUAUACCCCUUACUAAUAUAUACAUCAUUUAGAAAUAGUAUUUGUAUCUUUGUGUGUUUGCAUUAUUAUAAUUUAUCAUGUGACAUUUUUGUAGCAUUUUCAGUAAUUAAAAAUAAAAUGUUUUAUUGUUUAUAGAACAGUGACUCGUGAAUUAUUCUGUGAACCUGCUGAACCCAUUAUUAUUAUUAUUAUUAUUAUUAUUAAGUAAAAUAAAAUAUAUAUAUAUAUAACAUUAAUACAAACCAUGUGUCCUAUAUAAUGAAAAAGAGACUUUUGA